GGAAACUGAGGCUUGAAGAGGCUGACUUGUCUGAUGUUCCACAGCUGGUAAGUGGUAGGAUUAAGGGGCAAAUUUAGGUAGUUUGGCCCUAAAGCUCUUCCCCCUUACCAUACUUCCUUCCCUUCAGCCAGGGUUUCUUAAAUUAGGGUUCAUGGAGAGCCUUUGGGGAUCUCUGAGCCAACUAAAAUUAUAUGCAAAACUGUGUGUGAUUUCUGUUUUUUUUCUUGGGCCCAUAGCUUUUACCAGACUUGCGACGGUGUCACCUAAUAACUUUUAAAAUCAUUGCAUGAAUACAAGCAUUUCCUAAAGAACAGUACUGACAGGUGUGUGAAAUGGAACACACUCUAGAGAAGACAAUUUAGCACAAACAAAAUUAUAAGGCUCGUAUCCUUUGACCCAAUUCCACGUCUAGGAAUUUCAUUCUACAAACACACUCCCACACUUGGGAAAUGACAGAUGAUCAUGAUUAUUCAUUGCAGCUUUGUCUACAAAGGCAAAAGGAUUGGAAACAACAUAAACGUCCACCAACUGGGGGCCAUAAAAGAUGAUGGGUAUAGCCACAGCGAAGGAUGAGAAAGCCCUUUGUGCAGCGAUAUGAAAAGCCUCCAAGAUCACAUGGUUAAGCGAAAGAGACACACAGGAAGCGGCAGGAAUAGUCCAAAGGGUCUCAUGAACACUUCACCCAGCUUCCCCCAGUGGUGAUGUCGUAUAUGGCUGCUGUACGAUGUGAAAACCAGGAAGUGGACAUUGGAUUUCGGUGCUGGCGCCUUGACACAACAGAUUGUUCAUCUCACCAAAAGAAGAGUCAAACCUUUCUCAGAUUCUCCCUCCUGGCUUCACAUAGGCUUUUGGAUGUUGCUGGGAGGCGGGAGGUUGGCUUUUUUUUUUUUAUGAAAAAGGGAAAGAGAUGUGAAGCAUAAAAGGAUUUUUGCGGUUUGCAAGUUGACAUUCCAUCAUUAACUUAAUGCUAACACAAGCUCGAUUUCACUAAUCCUGAGAGGAACUUGAUCUCCAGAGACACUGACUUGCUGGUUCAAUGCCUGCACCAUGAGGCCUCUUCCACAGCCCAGAGUUGGGUGUUUUUCCCUUUUAAAAGACUUUGAAGUUGCAAAAAGUACAUAUCGCUUUUAAAAAGCAAACCCCAAAGAGAUCUUGCAAACAGUUUUGCUCAAGUGAGGUUGAGUUAAAUAGAGCAGUCCCCUUUUCAUCACAAUAAGAGAAGAGGAAGGGGGGGUGCAUUUGUUCCUCCUCCUCUCCCCAGUAUGGAACACUGGGCUGCUCCAGGGCUUGGUUCUCAGACCUAGAUUCUUCUCUAUCCACCACUCACUUCCAAGAGGAUCUUAUUUGAGCUCAUUAUUUUACUUAUUUGGAGGUGGGAGUGGGGUAAGGCGAGAUCUUAUUCAAAGGUAUCAUUAAAAUAAGGAGAAGAGAGCGUUCCCAUCGUGGCUCAGUGGUUAACGGAUCCAACUAGGAACCAUGAGGUGGCGGG